rnacentral:sRNA from 2 species
CUAGUGCCGUGCAGUGGUGGCCCGGCGCCUGCCAAUCGCAAGCCAUAGCUCGGCCUGUUCCAUUCAUCAAUGCCCAUGGUUGUCGAUAUGUUCCCUCUUCCAGCCAACCCGACCUAAGAAUAACUUUGACAUCAGCUCACUAACUCGAAUAACCCGGGCUUCGAGAAGAGGUGUCGGCCCUCAGCGUGCCACCUUAUCCCUUAUUUUUGUUCCCUUUCUUCCGCUUCCUCCCUCCCACUCUUUUUCGUUCAAGGUUGAAGUCAUGUGUUGCGUGGCCCGGGUUUCCAGCUAGUUAAAUGGGUUGAGUUAUAGUUCAAGGUCGAAUUAAGGACCAGAUUUUGCAUGCGCUUUAGCCCACCGCCCCCAAAUUAACAACAUCGUCGUCAUUGUCCCCGGCGAAGACCAAUCCUAGAAUUCCAAUACCCCACACCCAGCCAUCAUCGAAGCCUCUCUCCGAUCUCUACUUCUGCAGGCCAAAUACAACUCGUUACUCUUUGACCCUCUGCGACCGCUUUUGGUGUGGUGUUUUGGAAAGGGAGCUGGAUUUUUCCUUACCCUCGCAACCUUCCCUGUUUGCCUACCUGGCCGACUGCAUUUUGGGCGAUAAACCCCUCCCCACUUUUCCUCCUCCCCACCAUCCCUCCUCCCGCGGCGGGCCAUUCUCACGAUGGUGCAGUCGCCUAUGAUAUCCAGUCCGCUGAAACAAACCAGCGAGAUCGACUGGAUACAACCUCUAAAAACCUAUAUCCGGCAGACAUACGGUGACGAUCCAGAGAGAUAUUCGGAGGAAUGCGCAACGUUGAACAGGCUGCGGCAGGACAUGAGAGGCGCUGGCAAAGAUAGCGCGGCCGGACGGGAUCUGCUAUAUCGAUACUAUGGUCAGCUUGAACUGCUGGAUUUGCGGUUUCCUGUUGAUGAGAACCAUAUCAAGAUAUCUUUCACCUGGUAUGAUGCAUUUACACACAAGCCUACAUCUCAAUACUCAUUGGCCUAUGAAAAGGCAUCGAUUAUCUUUAAUAUAUCAGCUGUUCUAUCGUGUCAUGCCGCAAACCAAAACCGAUCUGAAGACACUGGGUUGAAGACCGCUUAUCAUUCCUUCCAAGCCUCCGCGGGAAUGUUCACUUAUAUCAACGAAAACUUCCUGCACGCCCCUUCCACAGAUCUGAGUAGGGAUACUGUCAAAACGUUGAUAUCGAUCAUGCUUGCUCAGGGUCAGGAGGUUUUCUUGGAGAAACAAAUAGAUGAUGGGAAAAAGCCAGGUUUUCUAGCCAAACUCGCAAGCCAAGCAGCAUAUCUUUACUCACAAGCUGCGGAAGGUGUGCAAGAAAAUGUGACGAAAGGCAUAUUUGAAAAAGUGUGGUCAAUCGUUGUUCAAGUAAAAGCCUCCCUCCUAGCGGCUGUUGCAGGUUACUAUCAGGCCAUUGCAGAUGACGAAGGGACACUGUACGGGAUUUCCAUAGCUCGCCUCCAGCUCGCCGAAAAGCAAGCUACCACCGCGCUGAGUUGGGCCAAAACUUUCCCAAACUCUCCCCCCGCAGGCUCAAAUUUAAGUGCAGAUACUGGCCCUAUCUUGCUCGAUCUCACGCGACGACAACUGGCAAAUAUCCAAGAAAAAUUGGCAUCAUUUACCAAGGAUAAUGAUUUUAUAUACCACCAACCGGUCCCUUCUGAACCCAGUUUAUCGACAAUCGCGAAGUUGCCCGCUGCGAAGGCAAUACCCGUGAGUGAAUUAUACCAAGGACAAGAUAUACAGAGGAUAAUCGGACCAGACAUCUUCCAAAAGAUCGUUCCCAUGUCCGUUACCGAAUCAGCAAGCCUGUACGAUGAAGAGAAGGCAAAACUAGUUCGUGCAGAAGCGGAGAAAGUUGAGGCUGCUAAUGGGGAAAUGGCUGCAAGUCUUGACUACCUCAAAUUGCCAGGAAGUCUGAACAUUCUGAAGGGUGGAAUGGACCAGGAUAUGGAUGUUGAUGAAGAUUUUAAGAUGUGGUGUGAAGAAUUGGCGAAUACGCGUCCUUUCCGUGAAGCUUUCAACGAGCUGCAGGAAGACAAAAUAUCCAUACUAAGCGUAUUGGACCAGUGCUCUAAACAGCUGGAUAUGGAAGAGAGCGUUUGUGAAAAAAUGCGUUCCAAGUACGGCGCAGACUGGGUUCAACAACCUAGUUCCCGAUUGACGUCGACCUUGCGGAGUGAUGUUCGAAACUACCGCGAUACCAUCGACGAAGCUAGUUCCAGCGACUCACAACUUCUAGUGAGCUUGAGACAACAUGAAGCUGAUUUUGAUGAGAUGCGUUCGGCUGGAGAAACCGACGAAGCCGAUGUUUUAUUCCAAAGGGCGCUGAUUAAGGUUGGGGGGAAACAUAGCAAGGGUCGAAAUGAGCAGGGUAGUCCUUAUAGUGCGGCCCCAGAAACAAAUCUCCUGGGUGAUGACUUCGACGCGAGGAUGUCUGUUACUGAGCAGAUAGCGAGGGUGGAGGAACUGCUUAAAAAGCUGAAUCUUGUGAAAAGAGAUAGAAAUCAGAUUUUGAAGGAUCUGAAAGAGAAGGUGCAUAAUGAUGAUAUUUCCAAUGUCCUUAUACUGAACAAAAAAUCGAUCGCCAACCAAGAAAACCAGCUUUUCCAAACAGAACUUGAGAAAUUCAGACCUCACCAAAAUCGACUAUUACAAGCAAACCACAAGCAAACAGCACUCAUGAAGGAGCUUACAAAGGUAUACGGAGACUUACUCCAGGACAAUACGGUCAGAUCGGAGCAGUCCAAGUAUGAAGCGCUCACGCGGCAGAGGAACUCGGUUAUGUCCAAAUACAAAAAGAUCUACAACGCCUUCAGAGACAUGAGCUCAGGCCUAGAACAAGCGCAAGCCUUCUACGCAGAGAUGAAGGAUACAGUAGAUAACCUACGAAAAAACGUCGAUACAUUCGUCAAUAACAGGCGAUCCGAAGGUGCACAGCUCCUUAGUCAGAUAGAACGAGACAAAUCCCACCACCAAUCCAACCAAGAGGAUCGGGAGCGCGAAAAGCUAAAAAACCUGAUGGAGCGCCUCUCCGUAGAAACCAGGCCCCAAUCGCCACCAACAUCUUCCUCAGCUAAACCAAGACCAGCCCCCCUAAAGACCGGCCGUUCCCCCUCAAUUACAUCCCACAACACCUUUUCCUACCCUGCCGCCAGCAGCAUCGCCCCACAAACCAGCCAAUACAUGGUCGGACAACAGCAGCAACAACAAUCACAACCACAACCACAGCCACCCCAACAGCAACAGCAACAGCAAUACCCUCAACAGGGAGCCCCCGGCGUCGCCUCGACCGAAGGCUACAACCCCAUGGCCUACCUCUACCAACCGCCAAUCUCCCCCCCACCAAACCAGCAAUUCUUCUCCCCGUCGCCAUACGGCUAUGCAAGCCCGCAGCAACCUUCCCAGUUCAUGGCACAGGGAUACAUACCGCCACCACCGCCACCGCGGCCAUCGCAAUCGCCUUACCCACAGUCCAACGCGCCAUAUCCGCCUGCGGGAUACAUGCAGCCGCGGCCAUAUAGCGCCAUGCAGCAGCAACCUCCGUCGCAGACGCCGCAGGGCCAGCCCGGAGGGCAGAAUACUAACAACAAUGACCCGUGGGCGGGGCUGAAUGCGUGGAAGUGAGAGCCCAUGUAUUGAUUGGAUAUAUACAGCGACGGCUCGCGCCUUUAUGACUAGUUUUGGUUGAGACUCUCAAGGAAAGGGAUGGGGAAACGAUAAGGAACAAAUGUAGAAAAAAUCCGCCAAGGGACAAGGGGAACUGGGACAUGCCACAAUACAUUUUUGUAGCUAGAAAUCACCAAAGAGUGUUUUUCUUUGCCUUUUUAUUCUCUUCUAUCCUUUCUUGCCCUUUAAAAGUACCGCAAGGGAAAUCGGUUGUGUUGAGUAGUAAGUAUCCAUUGUCAGUGUCGAGAGAACUGAGGAAAGGUAUUUAUGAUACCGGACGGGGGUCAGGAAAUGCUGGAACAGAUGGAAUGGAGCGAGCGUCUUUUCUCAGCGUGCAAGGAGGUUGAAAGGGGGGUGAAUAAUUGCAGCCCUGGCGUACAACAAACAACACAUAACAUGGGAAUGUGAGAUAUCGGAACUAUGUUUCAUCUCUUUUUCUCUUCCUGUUGAUUUUUUUAUGGGGCUGUAUUUAUCAUCAUCAUCAUCAUCAUCAUCAUACAUGCAUGUGUCAUGUCUCUCUAUAUUUCAUUGCUUGUGUCUGUUCCAUUUGGUUUCCUUCUAACCCCUUUUUGUCGAUCCUCAGUCCCUCCUCCGCCUUGUAUCCCUUUUUAUCUUGUUGCAUCCCAAAACUGCCGCCCUCACUCACCCAGCCCUCCAAAUGCAUUGCAUCAUCAUGGGUAUUUCCCCUUCCAUACCAUAUUACUACCUAGCUUUCGUUUUUAUGCCCUUCUUCCCUCCCAUUUAACGAACCUAUUCAUAACAUAGCAUUACCAUCGCCAUCAUCACCAUAUAUAUAAUACUAUACAUAGUACAGUACAUAUAACAUACGCCAUCACCCU